rnacentral:rRNA from 1 species
AUUGAACGCUGGCGGCAGGCCUAACACAUGCAAGUCGAACGCGUGGCGGACGGGUGAGUAAUGCUUGGGAAUCUAGCUUAUGGAGGGGGAUAACUACGGGAAACUGUAGCUAAUACCGCGUACCAUAGGAUGAGCCCAAGUGGGACUAGGUAGUUGGUGAGGUAACGGCUCACCAAGCCGACGAUCUCUAGCUGGUCUGAGAGGAUGACAAUCCAAACUGGAACUGAGACACGGCCGAGACUCCUACGGAAGGCAGCAGUGGGGAAUAUUGCGCAAUGUGGGCAACCCUGACGCAGCCAUGCCGCGUGAAUGAAGAAGGCCUUCGGAUUUUAAAGUUCUGUCAGCGGGGAGGCGUUACCCGCAGAAGAAGCACCGGCUAACUCCGUGCCAGCAGCCGCGAUAAUAC